rnacentral:rRNA from 1 species
GACGAACGCUGGCGGCGUGCUUAACACAUGCAAGUCGAACGAAGAGCGACGGAAGCUUGCUUCUAUCAAUCUUAGUGGCGAACGGGUGAGUAACGCGUAAUCAACCUGCCCUUCAGAGGGGGACAACAGUUGGAAACGACUGCUAAUACCGCAUACGAUCUAACCUCGGCAUCGAGGAUAGAUGAAAGGUGGCCUCUACAUGUAAGCUAUCACUGAAGGAGGGGAUUGCGUCUGAUUAGCUAGUUGGAGGGGUAACGGCCCACCAAGGCGAAGGCCAGUAGGCCGUCCGGGGGGGUUGACCGCCCACAUGGGACUGGGGCCCGGCCCCGGCCCCUUCCGGGGGGCGCCGUGGGGAAUCUUUCGGCAUGGACGGAAGUCUGACGGGGCAACGCCGCGUGGGGGAAGACGGGCCUCGGGUUGUAAAGCUCCGGUAAUCGGGACGAAAGGCCUUCUUGCGAAUAGUGAGAAGGAUUGACGGUACCGGAAUAGAAAGCCACGGCUAACUACGUG